rnacentral:rRNA from 1 species
UUNUGAACUGGGUGACUAGAGUGUGUCAGAGGGAGGUAGAAUUCCACGUGUAGCAGUGAAAUGCGUAGAGAUGUGGAGGAAUACCGAUGGCGAAGGCAGCNUCCUGGGAUAACACUGACGUUCAUGCCCGAAAGCGUGGGUAGCAAACAGGAUUAGAUACCCUGGUAGUCCACGCCCUAAACGAUGUCGAUUAGCUGUUGGGCAGCAUGACUGCUUAGUAGCGAAGCUAACGCGUGAAAUCGACCGCCUGGGGAGUACGGUCGCAAGAUUAAAACUCAAAGGAAUUGACGGGGACCCGCACAAGCGGUGGAUGAUGUGGAUUAAUUCGAUGCAACGCGAAGAACCUUACCUGGUCUUGACAUGUACGGAACCCUCCAGAGACGGAGGGGUGCCUUCGGGAGCCGUAACACAGGUGCUGCAUGGCCGUCGUCAGCUCGUGUCGUGAGGUGUUGGGUUAAGUCCCGCAACGAGCGCAACCCUUGUCAUUAGUUGCCAUCAUUAAGUUGGGCACUCUAAUGAGACUGCCGGUGACAAGCCGGAGGAAGGUGGGGAUGACGUCAAGUCCUCAUGGCCCUUAUGACCAGGGCUUCACACGUCAUACAAUGGUCGGUACAGAGGGUAGCCAAGCCGCGAGGUGGAGCCAAUCUCACAAAACCGAUCGUAGUCCGGAUUGCACUCUGCAAUUCGAGUGCAUGAAGUCGGAAUCGCUAGUAAUCGCAGGUCAGCAUACUGCGGUGAAUACGUUCCCGGGUCUUGUACACAC